rnacentral:tRNA from 1 species
GGGCCUGUAGCUUAGUUUGGUAGAGCGCCUCCAUGGCAUGGAGGAGGUCGUCGGUUCGAGUCCGAUCAGGUCCA